rnacentral:rRNA from 1 species
UGAUACUAAGCCAUGCGAGUCAUUGUAGCAAUACAAGGCAUACGGCUCAGUAACGCGUAGUCAACCUAACCUAUGGACGGGAACAACCUCGGGAAACUGAGAAUAAUGCCCGAUAGAACAUUAUGCCUGGAAUGGUUUAUGUUCCAAAUGAUUUAUCGCCGUAGGAUGGGACUGCGGCCUAUCAGUUUGUUGGUGAGGUAAUGGCCCACCAAGACUAUUACAGGUACGGGCUCUGAGAGGAGUAGCCCGGAGAUGGGUACUGAGACACGGACCCAGGCCCUAUGGGGCGCAGCAGGCGAGAAAACUUUGCAAUGUGCGAAAGCACGACAAGGUUAAUCCGAGUGGUUUCUGCUAAAGGAACCUUUUGUCAGUCCUAGAAACACUGAUGAAUAAGGGGUGGGCAAGUUCUGGUGUCAGCCGCCGCGGUAAAACCAGCACCUCAAGUGGUCAGGAUGAUUAUUGGGCCUAAAGCAUCCGUAGCCGGCUCUGUAAGUUUUCGGUUAAAUCUGUACGCUCAACGUACAGGCUGCCGGGAAUACUGCAAAGCUAGGGAGUGGGAGAGGUAGACGGUACUCGGUAGGAAGGGGUAAAAUCCUUUGAUCUAUUGAUGACCACCUGUGGCGAAGGCGGUCUACCAGAACACGUCCGACGGUGAGGGAUGAAAGCUGGGGGAGCAAACCGGAUUAGAUACCCGGGUAGUCCCAGCUGUAAACCAUGCAAACUCAGUGAUGCAUUGGCUUGUGGCCAAUGCAGUGCUGCAGGGAAGCCGUUAAGUUUGCCGCCUGGGAAGUACGUACGCAAGUAUGAAACUUAAAGGAAUUGGCGGGGGAGCACCACAAGGGGUGAAGCCUGCGGUUCAAUUGG